UACAGAGGUCUCAAGCGUUGUUCGGAUUCAUUGGGCGUAAAGGGUGCGUAGGCGGCGCGGUAAGUCGGGGUGUGAAAUCUCGGAGCUUAACUCCGAAACUGCAUUCGAUACUGCCGUGCUUGAGGACUGGAGAGGAGACUGGAAUUUACGGUGUAGCGGUGAAAUGCGUAGAUAUCGUAAGGAAGACCAGUGGCGAAGGCGGGUCUCUGGACAGUUCCUGACGCUGAGGCACGAAGGCCAGGGGGAGCAAACGGGG
rnacentral:rRNA from 1 species